GUCUGAGUGCAGAAAGGAAAACAGGAUGAGGAACAGCAGACAUCUCACCCUUGGCCAAGUACACCAGGAAGCAAAGCCGUUUCUGGUUACCUUGUGCAAUCAGUCCCUUUAGAAAGCUGGGAGGUUCAGGUAAGGCUCUACUCACAAUGCCAAAGGGCUGUCCUUCCUUCCCAUAGUGCUAUUUCAUGGGAUAUGAGGUGGAAUUAUUGGUUCUUUACCACAGAAAAGCUCAAAACAUGACCAGUUAAGUCCUGUACUCCUCUAUGAGUGAGGAGUUCAUUUUUUUUCUCCUCACCCCUUGAUUUUUCGAGACAGGGUCUCAUGCAUUGCAGGCUAACCUCAAAGUCUGUAUAGCUGAACCUGACCUUGAACUGCUCGUCCUUCGGCAAAGUGCCGGGAUCACAGGUGUGCACCUCAAUAUCUGCUCGUUCUUAACCACAAAAGCACUGACUUUAGGAGCAAUGGCUAUAAGUGAGCUAUAGCACAUAAACCAGUCUUCCUGCUCCCCAUCCCUGUUCCCCUUAUCACUUUAUUUUAAAGACUCCAGUGUAUUUGCUUCAUUCAAAUAUGACAUUUGUCUUGGCCACAGGGAAAUGGAAAAGGCAGGACAAAGUACAAAGAUAACACUUCACAAUAUUCUUGUAAUGUGAAUUUAAAAAGCAGCUUAUAAAAUGAUAGUGUCAGUUCUGCUAAUGUGAGAAUGGAGGAAAUGGGCUGCAGGCAUUGAGGACAUUUGUGCAAUGUUAUGGUGGAGAGGGAUUGCUAAGAACAGUGACACCAGUGUGACGGAGCAGGCUCUGAGCUCAGACUAAUACAGAGACGUUCAUGUUUGGUGGCUCAUGCAUAUAGCAGGUCCCCAAGGCAGGCUGUUACCCCUGCACACUCUAGGAGUGUGCCGCCACUGAAAGGUACAACCCAGCAUGAUCCGCAGCUAGCCCCUGUAACUGUGAAGUAACGGUCAGAACCCACACCCUGAGAAUGAGGAUCUAGCUCCCUAGCAAUUAUCUCUCCCCAACAUCCCUUCCUCUGUUGGGGCAUGCAAAGGCUGGGGUGCCUUGGGGAACACAGAAUGUAACAACGCCUUGAAAAGAGGCAGACCCAGUGGCUUUCAAGCUACUGGAAAUACUCCAUUUCCAUGGAGAUGCCUCAGAGACUAAAGUCAAAUUGAACUUAAAUUUCUUUUCCCUGUGUGUGCUUUGCUUUAGGGCUGUAAGAGAAAGCAGCCUUCACAGCGGAGGGUGCUGCUAUUAAUCCGCUACCCCAUCAGCUUGGCAGAAGGGAGCUGCCUCUAUUUUCUGUUAGAAGUGGGUCUUGAUAACCUGAAAUCUCAAGUUUCUAGGCUACACCUCAAAGAGAAGCAGAGCUCGAUCCCUGAGUCUGCCUCCUGCUGCUGGCCUGUUGGACCUUCUUCAGUUGCCAUGGAAACUGUGUACCUCAGUUUUGGCUCUGCACCAGCUGGAUAGCAGACUGAAGAGCAUCAUUGUCUCUCAGGCUAAGCAGAGCUGUUGCGGUCAUUCACACAUUUAUUAGGAGGUACCUGCUCUGAUGAUCCAAUUGUAGAGACUGCUGAAUGGGCAAAUGAAAAAGGCAAACCCGAAUCACACACUGUUAGCAGCUCCUGAGGCUUUACCUCCAACACCCAGGCUUGACUAAGAGGACCUUCUGGGGUAUGAAGAGAAACACAGGUGUGAGUCAGCCAGAAACCAGCCUGCUCACUCUUGUCAGGCUAGAUUGACAGGCACAAGGAGCCAGCCCACUUUCUUCACCCUCGGAAAAGCUGAUUUUCUGGCCACAGCAGCAAGAGGGCCCUUCUAGUGGGAACAGAACACAGUUUGAAGACAAGCAGACCCAAGUUCAAAGUUCAGGCCACAGCUUUCCUCUUGCCAACUGUGUAUCUUUGGGUAAAAGAUGCCCAUUCCUUUGGUCCUUUCAGCCUUCCUCUGAGGAGCAGGAUCGUUGGCACCUUGUUAUUAUAAUGUGUGUGACUUGGUUGUUUCAGACACUCUCUCUGGUCUCAGAAACCCUGGGGGAAUUUUGUGAUCUGGGGAUGACACUCAGAACCUCUUGCUGAUGAGAUGAGUGCUCUGCCACUGAGCCACAGCCUCGGUUCCUCUGCUUUUCCUUCUUGACAGGUUCCCAUUGCCCUGGAAAAGUGUGAAAGUCACCCACUUACCCUGGGCCCCAUUCUUGUGCACCACCCAUGAUCCUGUAAGAGCCAGAGGCUUAGAAGUCCUUGACUUGCAUCCUGAGGGGUUAUCUGUAGGUUAUUCAGACCCUUCCCUGCUGUGGUCUUGAGACCCUAAGGACUUGUGGGUCAUCAUUUAUCUUUGGACACGUUUCCUGAUUCUGUGUCACCAGCAGAGACCGCUGCUCUUUUAGACACAAGAAAGGAGAAAUAAACAAGAAAUG